rnacentral:rRNA from 1 species
AGUGAACGCUGGCGGUAGACCUAACACAUGCAAGUCGAACGGCAGCACAGUAAGAGCUUGCUCUUACGGGUGGCGAGUGGCGGACGGGUGAGGAAUACAUCGGAAUCUACUUUUUCGUGGGGGAUAACGUAGGGAAACUUACGCUAAUACCGCAUACGACCUACGGGUGAAAGCAGGGGAUCUUCGGACCUUGCGCGAUUGAAUGAGCCGAUGUCGGAUUAGCUAGUUGGCGGGGUAAAGGCCCACCAAGGCGACGAUCCGUAGCUGGUCUGAGAGGAUGAUCAGACACACUGGAACUGAGACACGGUCCAGACUCCUACGGGAGGCAGCAGUGGGGAAUAUUGGACAAAGGGCGCAAGCCUGAUCCAGCCAUACCGCGUGGGUGAAGAAGGCCUUCGGGUUGUAAAGCCCUUUUGUUGGGAAAGAAAAGCAGCAGGUUAAUACCCCGCUGUUCUGACGGUACCCAAAGAAUAAGCACCGGCUAACUUCGUG